rnacentral:rRNA from 1 species
GACGAACGCUGGCGGCGUGCUUAACACAUGCAAGUCGAACGGAAAGGCCCUGCUUUUGUGGGGUGCUCGAGUGGCGAACGGGUGAGUAACACGUGAGUAACCUGCCCCUGACUUUGGGAUAACUUCAGGAAACUGGGGCUAAUACCGGAUAGGAGCUCCUGCUGCAUGGUGGGGGUUGGAAAGUUUCGGCGGUUGGGGAUGGACUCGCGGCUUAUCAGCUUGUUGGUGAGGUAGUGGCUUACCAAGGCUUUGACGGGUAGCCGGCCUGAGAGGGUGACCGGCCACAAUGGUACUGAGAUACGCCCCAGACUCCUACGGGAGGCAGCAGUGGGGAAUAUUGCACAAUGGGCGGAAGCCUGAUGCAGCAACGCCGCGUGCGGGAUGACGGCCUUCUGGUUGUAAACCGCUUUCGCCUGUGACGAAGCGUGAGUGACGGUAAUGGGUAAAGAAGCACCGGCUAACUACGUG